AGCAAUAAAGAAUCAGGCUCGAGACGAGCCUGUUACAAUCCAUCUAUUUGCGUCGUGUUCGUCUGGUCAAGAGAAAUCGCUACGCCUGCUAAGAUCGAAUUGAUCAUGUUGGUGCUAGACGCUACUGCAAGUCGCAGAGCAGUACGUACGUACUCGUACUGCUAGCUAGUUACUGGAUCAAUCAAGCUACCUGCUUGGCAGCUUGGAAAGCUAGCUUGCACGUACGUGUUUCAAGUCCUGGUGAAUCGAUCUAGUGCUAUAAAACCAACAGGGGUGUUCGACGGGAGGGCACCAGCAGCGUCAAGGACCUCUCUGCGCCGCUGCCCAAGGCCGCGCCACACCGCACCAGCUGACAGCGGUACGUCUUUUUUCUUGUAUGCACACAACACAUGUGUGCAUGUGUUGUGGAAGGCAAUCCAGCAAGAACAGCGAUUGUGCAGAGUGCAGUCAUUGUUGAUCAAUGGUAGGGGGGCAGUUCAACUGCUCUGCGGCGGCGCACAGCCGGGCGCCAGCGGCAACAGGCAUUGCGCACCAGUGAUCCUCCCCGUCAAGCACAGCAAAACCUACAGGCGCAGGAUCUCCAGCACCACCUCGCGGAUGGGAACCACAAGCUGACGGUGGUGGAGGCCGACGGCAACUACGUGGAGCCGUUCGUCGUGGACGACAUGGACAUCUACUCCGGCGACAACUACUCCAUCCUGCUCACCAUCGACCAGGACACGCCGUCCAACACUGUGCGGUGGGGUAAUGUUUCACUCAGUCCCAACCUGCGUGUUGGAUCGGGUGAGACAAGAUUGUGACUAUGUGUUUCCUUAAUCAAUAUACACACCAUUCUUCUCAAAAAUUAAUAAAUAUAUUUUAGCAUCA